rnacentral:rRNA from 1 species
UACAGAGGGUGCAAGCGUUGUUCGGAAUUAUUGGGCGUAAAGGGCGCGUAGGCGGUGCGGUAAGUCUGUAGUGAAAUCUCUGGGCUCAACUCAGAGUCUGCUGCAGAAACUGCCGUGCUUGAGUGUGGGAGAGGUGAGUGGAAUUCCCAGUGUAGAGGUGAAAUUCGUAGAUAUUGGGAGGAACACCAGAGGCGAAGGCGGCGACCUGGGAGGUAACUGACACUGAGCAGCGAAAGCGUGGGGAGCAAACAGG